UCAAAACCACUUCGAUCUACAGGGGAAUGUAAGCCUAAGUCACUUUGAAAAGGGAUAAACAUCAUCCGAUCUCCGAAACCACCUUUCACAUCCGGCUUCAUCGACAGCAUCUCAGAAGGACCUUUUUGUUCUAAUGACUGAGGAACUUUCUCAAUCGCCCCCUCUACUGAAGAGGCACAAGUAGCGGUUGACAUAACGAGAGCACUAAGGCAUAAUGGGAAGAGUUUCAU